rnacentral:rRNA from 1 species
UACGUAGGCAGCAAGCGUUGUUCGGAAUUACUGGGCGUAAAGCGUGUGUAGGCGGUGCUCUAAGUUUGGUGUGAAAUCUCCCGGCUUAACCGGGAGGCUGCAUCGAAUACUGGAAUGCUAGAGGGUGGGAGAGGUAAGCGGAAUUCCUGGUGUAGCGGUGAAAUGCGUAGAUAUCAGGAGGAACACCUGUGGUGUAGACAGCUUACUGGACCACUUCUGACGCUGAGACACGAAAGCGUGGGUAGCAAACAGG